rnacentral:misc_RNA from 1 species
GAUGAAGAACGUAGCGAAAUGCGAUAAGUAAUGUGAAUUGCAGAAUUCAGUGAAUCAUCGAGUCUUUGAACGCACAUUGCGCCCCCUGGUAUUCCGGGGGGCAUGCCUGUCCGAGCGUCAUUGCUGCCCUCAAGCACGGCUUGUGUGUUGGGCCCCGUCCCCUCCCCCGGGGACGGGCCCGGAAGGCAGCGGCGGCACCGCGUCCGAUCCUCGAGCGUAUGGGGCUUUGUCACCCGCUCUGUAGGCCCGGCCGGCGCCAGCCGACACCCAACUUUUAUUUCUAAGGUUGACCUCGGAUCAGGUAGGGAUACCCGCUGAACUUAAGCAUAUCAAUAAGCGGAGGA